CACUAUCGUUAACUGAAUACAUAGGUUAACGAGGCGAACCGGGGGAACUGAAACAUCUAAGUACCCCGAGGAAAAGAAAUCAACCGAGAUUCCCCCAGUAGCGGCGAGCGAACGGGGAGCAGCCCAGAGUCUGAAUCAGCUUGUGUGUUAGUGGAACGGUCUGGAAAGUCCGACGGUACAGGGUGAUAGUCCCGUACACCAAAAUGCACAGGUUGUGAACUCGAAGAGUAGGGCGGGACACGUGGUAUCCUGUCUGAAUAUGGGGGGACCAUCCUCCAAGGCUAAAUACUCCUGACUGACCGAUAGUGAACCAGUACCGUGAGGGAAAGGCGAAAAGAACCCCGGCGAGGGGAGUGAAAAAGAACCUGAAACCGUGUACGUACAAGCAGUGGGAGCACCUUCGGGUGUGACUGCGUACCUUUUGUAUAAUGGGUCAGCGACUUAUAUUCUGUAGCAAGGUUAACCGUAUAGGGGAGCCGCAGGGAAACCGAGUCUUAACUGGGCGUUAAGUUGCAGGGUAUAGACCCGAAACCCGGUGAUCUAGCCAUGGGCAGGUUGAAGGUUGGGUAACACUAACUGGAGGACCGAACCGACUAAUGUUGAAAAAUUAGCGGAUGACUUGUGGCUGGGGGUGAAAGGCCAAUCAAACCGGGAGAUAGCUGGUUCUCCCCGAAAGCUAUUUAGGUAGCGCCUCGUGAAUUCAUCUUCGGGGGUAGAGCACUGUUUCGGCUAGGGGGUCAUCCCGACUUACCAACCCGAUGCAAACUACGAAUACCGAAGAAUGUUAUCACGGGAGACACACGGCGGGUGCUAACGUCCGUCGUGAAGAGGGAAACAACCCAGACCGCCAGCUAAGGUCCCAAAGUCAUGGUUAAGUGGGAAACGAUGUGGGAAGGCACAGACAGCCAGGAUGUUGGCUUAGAAGCAGCCAUCAUUUAAAGAAAGCGUAAUAGCUCACUGGUCGAGUCGGCCUGCGCGGAAGAUGUAACGGGGCUAAACCAUGCACCGAAGCUGCGGCAGCGACACUAUGUGUUGUUGGGUAGGGGAGCGUUCUGUAAGCCUGCGAAGGUGACCUGUGAGGGUUGCUGGAGGUAUCAGAAGUGCGAAUGCUGACAUAAGUAACGAUAAAGCGGGUGAAAAGCCCGCUCGCCGGAAGACCAAGGGUUCCUGUCCAACGUUAAUCGGGGCAGGGUGAGUCGACCCCUAAGGCGAGGCCGAAAGGCGUAGUCGAUGGGAAACAGGUUAAUAUUCCUGUACUUGGUGUUACUGCGAAGGGGGGACGGAGAAGGCUAUGUUAGCCGGGCGACGGUUGUCCCGGUUUAAGCAUGUAGGCUGGUUGUCCAGGCAAAUCCGGAUAAUCAAGGCUGAGGUGUGAUGACGAGGCACUACGGUGCUGAAGUAACAAAUGCCCUGCUUCCAGGAAAAGCCUCUAAGCAUCAGGUAACAUUAAAUCGUACCCCAAACCGACACAGGUGGUCAGGUAGAGAAUACCAAGGCGCUUGAGAGAACUCGGGUGAAGGAACUAGGCAAAAUGGUGCCGUAACUUCGGGAGAAGGCACGCUGGUGUGUAGGUGAAGCCCCUGCGGGUGGAGCUGAGACCAGUCGAAGAUACCAGCUGGCUGCAACUGUUUAUUAAAAACACAGCACUGUGCAAACACGAAAGUGGACGUAUACGGUGUGACGCCUGCCCGGUGCCGGAAGGUUAAUUGAUGGGGUUAUCCGUAAGGAGAAGCUCUUGAUCGAAGCCCCGGUAAACGGCGGCCGUAACUAUAACGGUCCUAAGGUAGCGAAAUUCCUUGUCGGGUAAGUUCCGACCUGCACGAAUGGCGUAAUGAUGGCCAGGCUGUCUCCACCCGAGACUCAGUGAAAUUGAACUCGCUGUGAAGAUGCAGUGUACCCGCGGCAAGACGGAAAGACCCCGUGAACCUUUACUAUAGCUUGACACUGAACAUUGAGCCUUGAUGUGUAGGAUAGGUGGGAGGCUUUGAAGCGUGGACGCCAGUCUGCGUGGAGCCAACCUUGAAAUACCACCCUUUAAUGUUUGAUGUUCUAACGUUGGCCCCUGACCGGGGUUGCGGACAGUGUCUGGUGGGUAGUUUGACUGGGGCGGUCUCCUCCCAAAGCGUAACGGAGGAGCACGAAGGUUAGCUAAUCCUGGUCGGACAUCAGGAGGUUAGUGCAAUGGCAUAAGCUAGCUUGACUGCGAGCGUGACGGCGCGAGCAGGUGCGAAAGCAGGUCAUAGUGAUCCGGUGGUUCUGAAUGGAAGGGCCAUCGCUCAACGGAUAAAAGGUACUCCGGGGAUAACAGGCUGAUACCGCCCAAGAGUUCAUAUCGACGGCGGUGUUUGGCACCUCGAUGUCGGCUCAUCACAUCCUGGGGCUGAAGUAGGUCCCAAGGGUAUGGCUGUUCGCCAUUUAAAGUGGUACGCGAGCUGGGUUUAGAACGUCGUGAGACAGUUCGGUCCCUAUCUGCCGUGGGCGCUGGAGAAUUGAGGGGGGCUGCUCCUAGUACGAGAGGACCGGAGUGGACGCAUCACUGGUGUUCGGGUUGUCAUGCCAAUGGCACUGCCCGGUAGCUAAAUGCGGAAGAGAUAAGUGCUGAAAGCAUCUAAGCACGAAACUUGCCCCGAGAUGAGUUCUCCCUGAGACUUUAAGUCUCCUGAAGGAACGUUGAAGACGACGACGUUGAUAGGCCGGGUGUGUAAGCGCAGCGAUGCGUUGAGCUAACCGGUACUAAUGAACCGUGAGGCUUAACCUU
rnacentral:rRNA from 1 species